rnacentral:rRNA from 1 species
GACGAACGCUGGCGGCGUGCUUAACACAUGCAAGUCGAACGAUGAACGCUGGAGCUUGCUCCGGCUGGAUUAGUGGCGAACGGGUGAGUAACACGUGAGCAAUCUGCCCUUGACUUUGGGAUAACUCCGAGAAAUCGGUGCUAAUACCGGAUAUGACCCUUGGCGGCGUCGCUGGGGGUGGAAAGUUUUUCGGUCAAGGAUGAGCUCGCGGCCUAUCAGCUUGUUGGUGAGGUAAUGGCUCACCAAGGCGACGACGGGUAGCCGGCCUGAGAGGGUGACCGGCCACACUGGGACUGAGACACGGCCCAGACUCCUACGGGAGGCAGCAGUGGGGAAUAUUGCACAAUGGGCGCAAGCCUGAUGCAGCAACGCCGCGUGGGGGAUGACGGCCUUCGGGUUGUAAACCUCUUUUAGCAGGGAAGAAGCGAAAGUGACGGUACCUGCAGAAAAAGCACCGGCUAACUACGUGCCAGCCGCCGCCGUAA